GAUGAAGAACGCAGCGAAAUGCGAUAAGUAAUGCGAAUUGCAGAAUCCGUGAAUCAUCGAAUCUUUGAACGCACAUUGCGCCCCCUGGUAUUCCGGGGGGCAUGCCUGUCCGAGCGUCAUUACAACCCUCAAGCUCAGCUUGGUGUUGGGCCCCGCCGCCCCGGCGGGCCCUAAAGUCAGUGGCGGUGCCGUCCGGCUCCGAGCGUAGUAAUUCUUCUCGCUCUGGAGGUCCGGUCGUGUGCUCGCCAGCAACCCCCAAUUUUUUUCAGGUUGACCUCGGAUCAGGUAGGGAUACCCGCUGAACUUAAGCAUAUCAAUAAGCGGAGGA
rnacentral:misc_RNA from 1 species